rnacentral:rRNA from 1 species
AAUACCGAAGGCGAAGGCAGCCCCUUGGGAAAAUACUGACGCUCAUGUGCGAAAGCGUGGGGAGCAAACAGGAUUAGAUACCCUGGUAGUCCACGCUGUAAACGCUGUCGAUUUGGGGAUUGGGCUUUAUGUUUGGUGCCCGUAGCUAACGUGAUAAAUCGACCGCCUGGGGAGUACGGCCGCAAGGUUAAAACUCAAAUGAAUUGACGGGGGCCCGCACAAGCGGUGGAGCAUGUGGUUUAAUUCGAUGCAACGCGAA